rnacentral:lncRNA from 1 species
CCCAAAGGAAGGUUGUUAUUUGGCAGGAAUUCGAACACGGAGGCGUGCAAAGGUUUCCUCGGGCCGGACGGAGAUUGGCCCUCGAGUGCAAAGGCAGAAGGGAGCUUGACUGUGCUUGUGGUGAUAAAUAUGAGACAAUUAUUUGGUUUUCCAUGUGAAUUUUAUGUCGGCCCAAAGGAAGGUUUGAUAUUUGACAGGAGUUUAUUAUCUAUAUUUGAUCACUACACCAAGAGUACCACUUACAAAUUGUUUUUCUGUCCAAAGACUAAAAUCAAUGUUGUGCUAGGUAUCUUGUAAUGGGAUAUGCCUAUUUUGAAUUUAUAUAGUAAGGUUAAAGUUCAAGUAAUUGUAAGAAUGUAUUCAGUAAUCCUUUUGUUCUAUUUUCAGUUAAUUCUUCUGCUUCUA